CAGUCGUACCUGCGGAUAAUCAGCCUUUAGGAUGCGAUUUUGUGGAGCGUGAGGGGCUAAUCGCCUUCAUGCCUAUAUAUUCGUGUACUUGGGGUGUACUUAUUCGUGAGGUAAGUUAACAUCAAUUUUGGUCGUCAUAAAAUGACUGGAGGAAUGUAGCUUCGAUCUCGUAUUGAAGUGUUAUAGCCUUUGGUAGAUGUGACGAUUGGGAUUGAGGAUUGCAACGGAUACCCCGUCGGGGUUACCCGUCUGA
rnacentral:rRNA from 1 species